CCGCGUCCCUCGGAACAUAAUCCCUGCAACAAAAUCAUCUUCUCUCUUCUCGCCAGCCUCCACCAGCGACACCGCCGAGAUGGGCGGCGCCGACUGCAACAGCACGGAUUUCGGCGCCGCCGCCUACUGGGACGCCCGCUACUCCUCCCCCUCCACCGGCGGCAAGGGCCGCGGCGGCUUCUUCGACUGGUACCAGGCCUACCCGGCUCUCCGGCCAAUACUCCGCGCCUGCGUUCCCACCUCCUCCCGCGUCCUCAUGCUCGGCUGCGGCAACUCCCUUCUGUCGGAGGAUAUGGCAAAGGAUGGUUACGAGGACAUAGUAAACAUGGACAUCUCCUCCGUUGUUAUCGAGCAGAUGAAGGAGAAACACAUGGAUAUUCCACAGCUUACAUAUAUGCAGAUGGAUGUCAGGGAUAUGAGUCUCUUUGCAGAUGGAUCGUUUGAUUGCGUCAUUGACAAAGGGACCUUGGAUGCUAUGAUGUGUGGCGAUGAUGCCCCUCACGGUGCUUCAAGAAUGCUAGCAGAAGUGGCAAGGAUUACGAGACCUGGUGGAAUUUAUAUGUUGAUAACAUAUGGUGCUCCUAAGGAACGUCUCACAAUUUUGAAUCAAGCCCGAUGCCGUUGGAAUGUUGAGCUAUACAUUAUGCGUAAGUUUGAAAUACCCUCUCUUCACUCUGAAGGGGCACCCGACCCAAGUAUACUGUUUCUACCUUGUUAGCUAUCACUCUGUUAUAACAUGUUUAUGUGCAUGAGAUAUUUGCUUCAUCCUUUGGGAACUACGGAUUCAAAUCCGUGAAAGAUUGCUUCCAUUACUUCCCAAUUCUCAUGAGAUGCCCAAAACUACAAUAGAAAUCUGAAUAAUGAUUGCUAAAGACUGAUUGUAACCCACAUCAUUACUGGAAAAUCUGGGGAGAAGAUAAAUUAGCGCCAUUUAUGUCGGGAAUACAUAUUAUAUGGCCCGCUCUGUUUGCAAUUUUUUUUUUGGAUCUAACAUCUAGGUUUUCAUAUUGUUGUACUUGUGAUUUGGGAACACAUGCCAGUAAUUAGUUGUGCCUCUUUCAAUGGCCAAAGACCAAAAUACUGUUGGUUGAUGGUAAGCCAGUGCCUCAGUAGCGACUGUGUUUGAUAUAAUGACGGUGGCAAUUGCGACUUAAAAAGCCUGCCUGGGCUUUGCUUUGCGCCAUCGACCACCCUGCGUCAUUAUACAAUGGUAUUUUGGUCAUUUUUCUACCCUAUUGAAUGACAUUGGACACUGGUGGCAUAUGCAACACAACAUGCAGACUAAACUUGGCAGCCACACCUGAAUACCAGUUGAAACGGAGCAAUGGCGCUUCACACGCUUCCAUGGAGAAAGUUAAACUGACAGUGGAUGGCCAACUGCCGCCUGACUAUGUUUUUAAGGAUCCAGAGUCAAAUUUCGUUUAUGUUAGUUACAAGUCAGAUACAGCGAGUGAAAAUAAUUCCAUAGUUGGUGGUCAAGGGGAAACCACGACUUCA